rnacentral:rRNA from 1 species
AUACGUAGGGAGCGAGCGUUGUCCGGAAUUACUGGGUGUAAAGGGAGCGUAGGCGGGAGUGCAAGUCAGAUGUGAAAUACAUGGGCUCAACCCAUGGGCUGCAUUUGAAACUGCAUUUCUUGAGUGAAGUAGAGGUAAGCGGAAUUCCUGGUGUAGCGGUGAAAUGCGUAGAUAUCAGGAGGAACACCGGUGGCGAAGGCGGCUUACUGGGCUUUUACUGACGCUGAGGCUCGAAAGCGUGGGGAGCAAACAGGAUUAGAUUCCCUGGUAGUCCACGCUGUAAACGAUGAUUACUAGGUGUGGGGGGACUGACCCCUUCCGUGCCGCAGUUAACACAAUAAGUAAUCCACCUGGGGAGUACGGCCGCAAGGUUGAAACUCAAAGGAAUUGACGGGG